rnacentral:rRNA from 1 species
CCCUUAGAUGUCCUGGGCCGCACGCGCGCUACACUGAUGCAUGCAACGAGUUUAUAACCUUGGCCUGAAAGGUCUGGGUAAUCUUUUGAACGUGCAUCGUGAUAGGGAUAGAUUAUUGCAAUUGUUAAUCUUGAACGAGGAAUUCCUAGUAAACGCGAGUCAUCAGCUCGCAUUGAUUACGUCCCUGCCCUUUGUACACACCGCCCGUCGCACCUACCGAUUGAAUGGUUCGGUGAAGAUCUCGGACUUCGAUAUUUAUUCUUUAUUGAGUUUAUAUUGUGGGAAGUUAUCUAAACCUCAUCAUUUAGAGGAAGGUGAAGUCAUAACA